rnacentral:rRNA from 1 species
AGAGUUUGAUCAUGGCUCAGAAUCAACGCUGGCGGCGCGCCUAACACAUGCAAGUCGAACGAGAAAGUGGAGCAAUCCAUGAGUACAGUGGCGUACGGGUGAGUAACACGUGGGUAAUCUACCUCUUAGUGUGGAAUAACCCUGGGAAACCGGGGCUAAUACCGCAUAAGCUCGAGAGAGGAAAGCAGCAAUGCGCUGAGGGAGGAGCCCGCGGCCGAUUAGCUUGUUGGCAGGGUAAAAGCCUACCAAGGCAAAGAUCGGUAGCCGGCCUGAGAGGGCACACGGCCACACUGGCACUGAAACACGGGCCAGACUCCUACGGGAGGCAGCAGUGGGGAAUCUUGCACAAUGGGGGAAACCCUGAUGCAGCGACGCCGCGUGAGCGAUGAAGCCCUUCGGGGUGUGAAGCUCUUUCGGCAGGGAAGAUUAUGACGGUACCUGCAGAAGCAGCUGCGGCUAACUACGUGCCAGCAGCCGCGGUAAUACGUAGGCAGCAAGCGUUGUUCGGAGUUACUGGGCGUAAAGGGUGUGUAGGCGGUUCUCUAAGUUUGGUGUGAAAUCUCCCGGCUCAACUGGGAGGGUGCGCCGAAUACUGAAGGACUAGAGUACGGGAGAGGAGAGUGGAAUUCCUGGUGUAGCGGUGAAAUGCGUAGAUAUCAGGAGGAACACCGGUGGUGUAGACGGCUCUCUGGACCGUAACUGACGCUGAGACACGAAAGCGUGGGUAGCAAACAGGAUUAGAUACCCUAGUAGUCC